UGCCAGACUCCUACGGGAGGCAGCAGUGGGGAAUAUUGCACAAUGGGGGAAACCCUGAUGCAGCGACGCCGCGCGAGUGAAGAAGUAUUUCGGUAUGUAAAGCUCUGUCAGCAGGGAAGAAAGCAAUGACGGUACCUGACCAAGAAGCCCCGGCUAACUACGUGCCAGCAGCCGCGGUAAUACGUAGGGGGCAAGCGUUAUCCGGAAUUACUGGGUGUAAAGGGAGCGUAGACGGCUGUGCAAGUCUGGAGUGAAAGGCGGGGGCCCAACCCCCGGACUGCUCUGGAAACUGUAUGGCUGGAGUGCAGGAGAGGUAAGUGGAAUUCCUAGUGUAGCGGUGAAAUGCGUAGAUAUUAGGAGGAACACCAGUGGCGAAGGCGGCUUACUGGACUGUAACUGACGUUGAGGCUCGAAAGCGUGGGGAGCAAACAGGAUUAGAUACCCCCGUAUU
rnacentral:rRNA from 1 species